UUUAUAUUUUUACAACUUGCGAAGAUUUUGUACUAGAAAUUUGAACGUUUAAGACAUAGUUUGAUAGAUAGCGCAAUCGUAAUUUUUCUCUGAAACACUUUUAUAUAAAAUUAAGCAUUAUUGGCAGUGGGGGAAGACGUCAUGGACGCAAAUUUCUUAAUAUAAUUUUUAAUGGGCUACACGCAAGCCUUUUGGCCAAAAUAAACGUAACAAUAGGCUGUUUAUUUGACCGUUUAUGACUCCUCAUCUAAUAAGCAGCAAACUCACGAUUUUUUUAUUAUUAAGCUCCUCCUAGCUGUUCCGAAUGCACGUUUAAAAAGCCGUGGAGAAAGGGCUUUCUCUGUGCACCGAAGCUGUGGAACGCAUUACCACUGCUAGUGAGGCAAGCACCAACAGCUAGCAUUUUUAAAUCACGCCUGAAAACUCACUACAACCUAGCUUACACAUAAUUAUGAACCUCACUUACAUCUGCACUGUUUAAAAAUUGACUUUACAAUAUCAACUUCCGUACUAUUGAGGUUCUUUUUAAAAUGUUUUUCUAAUUUUUUUAUUCUCCCUGUGUCUUAUUGAUUUUUAGCUGUUAGCUUUUGGGAAUUUUGUUGUAUUUCCUUUGUAUCUUUUAUCUGUGUUCGACAUGAUUGUAUAACGCCGGUUUACUUAACUAACAUUUUUAGUGUACAGCGCCUUGUUUGGUUUUUAUUUAUUUUAUUUUUUUUACAGAAAGAUGCUGACCAGAAAGAUGCCAUCAUCAUCCCACUGUGGAUUCGAGGGCAUUUUCUGCUGAGCGUAAUGAGGCCACUCCAGAAAGAAAUUUCAUUUCUGGAUUCCCAUUAUUUCAGAAGAGCAGAUGGUUUCUCCAGUCAGGCCUACAGGAAUCUGUUGAGGUUGUCAGUGUUGUGUGUGCUGGAGGUCACGUUAUCCUGACCUGCCAAUGUUUACAAAAAUUUCCUAAAAUAAGUUCAAUCAGGGGGCAAUGUGAUAAUAAAUGUACUUUGCUCUGCACAUUUGUUAUAGGGUCAGAUGAGAUCUGCUUCAAAUAGCUGAAAGUGAAGAAAAUAGACAAAUAUUAAAUGCAAUGAAAAGGGGAGGGGGACAGAAAGACAAUGUCCUUUUUGAACGUUAGGGAAUUAUGAAUAUUUACCAAUUUGCAUGGUCCCGUUCUUGGACAUGUUCUCUGUUCUGUGGAUUACAGAUAUUAGGCAUGUUUCCAUUAGCAGAACUCCAGGGUAGUUCCUGGGAUGGGGAACUUGACCAGGAGAUAGGAUGUCCCAGUCCUCUCAGCUGUUGUGUGGGCACACAUUUACACUAAAAUAUGUAGUGCAGAUCAUUACAAUAAACUGUAUAUUAGAGAAGACAUGAUAAACUGCAUGGAUAGAAUUAGCACUGUCCACAAUCCAUUUAUUAACUUUAUGUAAUGCUGUUUUUGUUGUGGUUUUGUUUUGUUACUGUGUUGAUUUCAAGUAAUUCAAUUGUGUAAUGUAGCUUUACAUGAACCUAACAUAGUUCUUCAAUUGAAGCCAUGCAAAAUACUACAUGUUAUCCAAUCAGUGGCUCCAGCUUCUGUACCUGGAACUCAAUUAACGUCAUAUAGAAACAUUUCUUGGCUUAAAGAUGCAAUUAUAAAUAAGAUAUCCAACAAAAGAAUACAAAAAAUCGUGUGUCACGUUAUUGUAUACGGCAUUACGUCAUUCACCAUUAUCAUGAAGACACCACAAUCAUUGCCAUGUGUCUGCUUAGGAACACCCUGUAUGACAGUUAAAUUCAACAAAUAGCCGAUAAUUACAUUUCAGUUUAAUUUUGAUACUGCAGGCAAUACCUCCAAAUCCAGAGCAGUUUUCUCCACCCAGGUUCCCACAGCUGUCUGCUGUGCAACAUCUCUGAGUAACCCCAAAAAAAAAACAACAACAACAACAAUGUAAAACUUAAAAAGCUAUACACAGCUAUGAUUUUGUAAGAGAUAAAAAAAAAUAAGAAAUUGAUGGCAUGUGAACCGUAUCAAUAGGCGUGUUUCCACUACAAGAACUUGAGGAUAGAUUUACAGGAACCUCCCGACAUGUCAAACGGCCGUUUUCAGGACACUUCUGAGUACCUGCUCUGGAGUAGCUGAUUGGUUGUAACUCAGUAGGAAAUGACAUCAGCAGAGGUGUAUUUUAACACUCCCUACAGCUUUCCACCCAGAGAACAGGUGAAUAUGAGUGAAGAUUAUUGCAUGACAACAAAAUAAAAUUAAUUGUAACUGCUGUGCAUGAAGUCAUGUUUUUUGUGUGUCGUGAUUAAGAACAAUGACGGCAUGGACCAACACAACGUGGUCAGCAUUCUGAAAAAUUUUUUGUAUCACAUGAAAAUAUUUUUUGCCUUUACUGUUGUCAGUCUAUAACUCAUGGUUAAUAUCUUGUUACCUGCAACAUGACAGACUAAUGUCUACAUGAAAGAUGGCCUUUUGUUCACCUCAUUACUCAGGCAACCAUCCAUGCACUUUCAGCUGUCCAUGAAUGUUGACCAGACAAAGCCACAGAAAUGUACAGCAGUGUGACUGGAGGUAUUCUACAAACACAAGAACAGUGCUAAUGUCUAUAGGUAUUGUUUUCACAUUGUUUAUGACAGCCUCUAGGUGUAAAUGUCAUUUUUACUAAUUGCUAUUUAUCUUUGUCUCAUUAGUGAGAGGCAGCUGAUGUCCUAUGCCAUGGAACUGCUCAUACUCUGAGAAAUUCAGAAAAGCUCUGGACUCAUGUCAUUGUGUGGACAUUUUUAUUUUUUAUUUUUCGAAGGUUUUUGUAGGCCAAUAAAAGCUGUUGCUGGAUGGUU